CAAACAGACCCCUCGCAUCGGGAGCUACAGUAAUCGAGGCGCCUCCUCUGCGCUCAGCUAUUGCCGCCGCUGCUGCUCCUCGUUCGCCGUUGCUGCUACUUGCUACUCCCUCCACAAGGUGCCCCCGGAGCUUCAUCUUUAUCCUCCUCCCUUUACCCAGGUCCGACUGCUCCGGCUGCUGCCGCUGCGGGCACCGCCGGAGUCAUCGCCGGAGGAGCUGUCCUGUCACCGAUCCCGCACCCCGUGGCCACCCCGGCAGAUUCAUUCAUGUUGUUGUGAUCUGAAAGAGCAGAAAUGAAGACAGCACUGUGCUCCGCAGUCGCUGCUCUGUGUGCAGCAGCCCUCCUCUCCUCCAUCGAGGCUGAAGAAACGCCUCUCCUUCCUUGCCCAGCUCCUUCUGUGCUCUGUUUCUCCCAGCUAGUCAGCUGGACUGUAACUCCCUCUCUCUGUCUCUCUGGUGUGCUGUCCACACCACCCCACUGACAGGACACAGGCCAGCCGAUGUGGCCGCUGGGCGCAGCGCCCCGAGGAGCCCACUGCCACUGCUGCUGCCGGCGGGCAGCCCAGCACGGCUGGGGCUGUGGCGCUGCCCCCCUGACGGACCAAGAACGGCUGGUCUCUGGGCUUGUGUAGUAAUAUUGAGAGAGGAAACGGAAAACCCACCACCCAACAACCCACAGCUUUGAAAUAAAAUGCUCCAACAGAGUA